UCUGCUUCUUGAGAUGUUGGAGGUGUGGCUGCUGUGUCACAUGUACAUCAGUAGGUGGUAGAGAGGGGAGGGGCUAUGGCUAUGCUCUGACCUAUGCACAUCUGAAUGAUUAGUAGCUUAACAGU